rnacentral:rRNA from 1 species
AUACAUGCAAGUCGAGCGGACAGAUGGGAGCUUGCUCCUGAUGUUAGCGGCGGACGGGUGAGUAACACGUGGGUAACCUGCCUGUAAGACUGGGAUAACUCCGGGAAACCGGGGCUAAUACCGGAUGCUUGAUUGAACCGCAUGGUUCAAUUAUAAAAGGUGGCUUUUAGCUACCACUUACAGAUGGACCCGCGGCGCAUUAGCUAGUUGGUGAGGUAACGGCUCACCAAGGCAACGAUGCGUAGCCGACCUGAGAGGGUGAUCGGCCACACUGGGACUGAGACACGGCCCAGACUCCUACGGGAGGCAGCAGUAGGGAAUCUUCCGCAAUGGACGAAAGUCUGACGGAGCAACGCCGCGUGAGUGAUGAAGGUUUUCGGAUCGUAAAACUCUGUUGUUAGGGAAGAACAAGUACCGUUCGAAUAGGGCGGUACCUUGACGGUACCUAACCAGAAAGCCACGGCUAACUACGUGCCAGCAGCCGCGGUAAUACGUAGGUGGCAAGCGUUGUCCGGAAUUAUUGGGCGUAAAGCGCGCGCAGGCGGUUUCUUAAGUCUGAUGUGAAAGCCCCCGGCUCAACCGGGGAGGGUCAUUGGAAACUGGGGAACUUGAGUGCAGAAGAGGAGAGUGGAAUUCCACGUGUAGCGGUGAAAUGCGUAGAGAUGUGGAGGAACACCAGUGGCGAAGGCGACUCUCUGGUCUGUAACUGACGCUGA